rnacentral:rRNA from 1 species
GACGAACGCUGGCGGCGUGCUUAACACAUGCAAGUCGAACGGAAAGUCCCUGCUUUUUGGGGGUGCUCGAGUGGCGAACGGGUGAGUAACACGUGAGUAACCUGCCCUUGACUUUGGGAUAACUUCAUGAAACUGGGGCUAAUACCGGAUAGGAGCUCCUGCUUCAUGGUGGGGGUUGGAAAGUUUCGGCGGUUGGGGAUGGACUCGCGGCUUAUCAGCUUGUUGGUGGGGUAGUGGAUUACCAAGGCUUUGACGGGUAGCCGGCCUGAGAGGGUGACCGGCCCCAUUGGGACUGAGAUACGGCCCAGACUCCAACGGGAGGCAGCAGUGGGGAAUAGUGCACAAUGGGCGGAAGCCUGAUGCAGCAACGCCGCGUGCGGGAUGACGGCCUUCGGGUUGUAAACCGCUUUCGCCUGUGACGAAGCGUGAGUGACGGUAAUGGGUAAAGAAGCACCGGCUAACUACGUG